CGCGUCCUCCAGCUCUCAUUUCUUGGAGGAGGCUCACUCUCACUUCCUCUCUAUUUCCACGACGUCGUCCCACUGGCUCCGGUUUCGUUCUCCUUUUUAAAAUUAUUUUCCAUGGCUCAUUUGUCCAGUUCGGUGCCGGUAAACGUGUCCAGCUGCCGAGGGGAGGAGACGCCGCGGUUACCGAGUCCACCGUCAACGUCACCACGGCCAUGUCCUGAUUUUCACACAGAAUCUCAGCAACAAAACUAAGAAAUGACCAGAAAUAAACCAAGAGAGCCGUUGACUUCCCCUACAAUCAGAUCAGAAUUGUAAGUUAUUGAUCCGAGGAGGAGCUGGUAGGUGAAUAUUCUCAACAGUCAUGCUAGCUCGGCAUGUUUUUAUCCUUUCGUGGGAUUGAGAUCUCUUUAAUGUUUCUAAAUUGACUUCCUUCCCGACCCGGGAGUCUUGUUUCCUCCUGGUAGGCUCAUGACCCGGAGCAGAAGCUAAGCGUUUCGCUCCCAGUGGGAUGAACCACUCAUUGAUGUGUGAAAGAGACGAAUGAGCCACGGAGGGAAGAUUAAACCAUCAUCGCCAUUAUUCAUUAGCUUUAGCUAGCUGUCCCUAAUAUCUGCACUCAAAUAAACAUGGCGACAGAAAAAAAAAAAAAAAUGGUCGAUA
ensembl:lncRNA